rnacentral:ncRNA from 1 species
AAAACUAUCUGCGUAAAUCAGCGUAGAAAUCUGCGUUUAUCAGCGUGUGACUCGCGAGAGCGAGGCACGGCGAGGUUUCGUAGGAGAUUACUACGUUGAUAGGCCACAGGUGUAAGGCCAGUAAUGGUUUGAGCCGAGUGGUACUAAUAACCGUUAAUGCUUCUUUG